rnacentral:lncRNA from 1 species
UAUUUUUUUUCAGUUGCGAGUUCAUAAAUUGCUGUACAGUUAUUGUACAGGGUGUGUCUUAAGUGGCGACAACUGAUAGUCACGAAAGGGGGAAUAAUUAUGCAGGUGAAAAGAAUAAACUGCAGAAUUUUUUCAAAUACCAGAAAGCCUGAUUUAAAUGUAAUCAUCGAAUGACACCGUUGCGCAUUACGUAAACCACGCUGAGCACGUAUUCAUGGCCAUUCACGGUGAUUAGCAGAAUACCUCCAACAUCAGAAAGUAGGAAGGUGCAUCGGUAAACGAAGCCGUACAUAUUAUUGCAACUUAAACUCUAAACUGCCUUUUGUUUGUCUUUUGUCUGACGCGCUGUAAAUACCGAUCGGCAAAUACAAAUUUCUCAGGAUUAUUAAUCAACUGCAAAUAAAUAUUAGCGAUAUUAAAUCCUGAAUAGACAUUAACUUUCUAAUGUUGUUACGUCAUAUGUUUUUACGUUGAACUGUAUGACGAUAAACAACUUUCUUUAAUCCAUGAACUUAGCAUCAAUUAAAGAUUAUAAAAGUAAUCUUUUAAUAAUAAAUGAUAUGUAUAUCUUCCAGUGACGUAACAAAGAGAGCUCCAAGGUUUUCCAGGCAUCACUGCGCGAUAAAGAGGCGCGCAUAAGUGACGGAUCGGAUUGCACGACAAUGACCAACCACGCGGAUCGUCCGUGGUGCGUUUCGGUUUCAUUUAUUAAUCCUUCCCGAUCGAUAUAUACCGCCUCACGUAGUCUUCGUUUACUUAUUCAACCGCCACGCCGCCAAUACAUCCUAUACAUAUACGUUUACUUUAGCACGUACGUACAGAUGGGCUCGUCGCCAUCGUCGUCGUUUUAGUUAUUACGUACAUAAUGAAUAUCAACGAUAUUAAUUCGCCCGGGGAAGUGCAAUAGCGGAGCGCGUAUAAUUACGCGAUGAGCAGCGACAUUUUCGGAUACCGUUGCUGGCAACGAACUCUUGCCGAGAAUAGGACGGAUGAAAGCGAGACAAAACCGAUCUCGUCUACGAGAACAAUACGCGACUGAUGCUUCCGGGGCGGACCGGACUAAAACGCGGAAACGAAGCAUGUUCGCUUACAAUCAUUCAAUGAUGUAAAAAGGAAGUGGGACAUGCUUUCACGAUACUUUCCAGCGAGGUAAAAGUCGACGAACACAUACAUCGGGUGAUUAAAAUAUAAACAUCACAUUUCUGACUUAAUACUUUCGAGACUUUUCCUUCUUAAAAACUACUCUGUGCAAUCUGAUACAACCAUUUCCUUUAAUAAUCCCGAGACUGAACUUCGGAGGAGACUAAAAUCUUGGAGGAGAAAAAAAAAUCGCCUCAGAAUUGAGUCAGGAAUGUGCGAUAUUUUAAGAACGAAGGAUUGUUUUCCCGUCCGCAUCUCUCGCGGUUUCUUCGAUAUUUGCACGGGGAUUCCCGGCGCCGGCGACCGGUUUCUCGGCGUCGCGUCGCGUCGCGUCGUCGCAAAAUGACGACGUGCUCCGCUCGCCGGGCGACGAUCCGGCUCGCUUCCUCCGCACGCGUGUGUCAUGUGCGACAGCAAUUUACGAGACACAGGGUGAACGUAUUCGACACAGGGUGAACGUACUUGGCGCCGCGCGGCGCGAGAGAGACGUCAUUCGAUUAAAAUUCCUCCGUUCGCGCGGUGUUCCCGCUAGUUUUCAAGUUUAUCGGGCGAGGAGAGGAGGGGGGGGGGGGAGGAGGACGGGAAGGGGAAAUCAGAGAUCCACGUAAUGGCUCUGAUUCGAACUAUGCCAAGUGCGUUCCAGUUUCAGAAUCGUCAUCUGCCACUCCGCAAACCUCGCCGUGAAUUCAAACUCAAAUUCUCCUCCCCUGCAGUUGUGUAAAUUUCACAAGUGGGGGGGAGAUUCGCACGCUCCAAGCCAGCUGAUCGAAUUGGUGUGGUCGAAACCAAUGAUAUAAAUGAGGGAGAAUUAAUAAGCGUCCGUAAACAAAGUGAUCGCCACUCUAGCAUUUUAUUUAUAAAACUUCUGCGGAGAAAGAGAGAGAGAGAGAUAAACGGAGGACGUGACACAGAAAGGAGGGGGGAUAUCAUACUUUUUGCAUUGCCAAUCAUGUGCCAUAUAUGUAUGUUUUGUAUAUAAUAAUAUACGAAAGUAAUAUUAAAAUAUUCCGAGGAGAUACAACACAUUGUUUUUUUCCUUCGAGAGAUUUUAGAGAGAGAUACAUGUAUUAUUUUUAAAAAAGAAAAAAA